rnacentral:lncRNA from 1 species
UCAAAAGAGGUGACACUAAUUAUGCCCUGCUUCCUUAUUCUUGUUUGCUUGUUUGUUUGGUUGGUUUUGAACAUAGUUUCUUAGGAUCUAACUUGGGUCCUUGGACUUGCAAGGCAAUCAAUCACCUUAGCAGACAAACUACCUUCCUGGUUCCCACCUGCUUACUUUUAUGCUAAGUAUGUGUGGCCUUUAUUAUUUAUUACUUUAACCUAAAUAGACUUUUCAAAAGUCCUUAUUGAUGUUGUGCCUUAGAUACAUGGCAUGGCCGAUUCUAUAGACUCUAUGGUGUAAGUUUCAAACUCCUAAAUCUUAUAUUGAAAACUGUGAAUCUGUGAAUCUGUGAAUCUAGGAUUACAGUGCAAGCCUGUAAUCCUAGCACUUGGAAGACAAAGAAGGGGUGCCAAAAGUUCAACGUGAUCCUCGGCUACAUACGGUGCUCAGGUCGGCCUGGGCUACAGGAGACUC